rnacentral:rRNA from 1 species
CCUACGGGAGGCAGCAGUGGGGGAUAUUGGACAAUGGGGGAAAGCCUGAUCCAGCGACGCCGCGUGAGUGAAGAAGUCCUUCGGGAUGUAAAGCUCUGUCAGCAGGGAAGAAAGAAAUGACGGUACUUGACCAAGAAGCUCCGGCUAACUACGUGCCAGCAGCCGCGGUAAUACGUAGGGGGCAAGCGUUAUCCGGAUGUACUGGGUGUAAAGGGAGAGUAGACGGUGUGGCAAGUCAGGAGUGAAAGGCGGGGGCCCAACCCCCGGACUGCUGUUGAGACUGUGUAACUGGAGUGCAGGAGAGGUAGGCGGAAUUCCUGGUGUAGCGGUGAAAUGCGUAGAUAUUAGGAGGAACACCAGUGGCGAAGGCGGCCUACUGGACUAUAACUGACGUUGAGGCGCGAAAGCGUGGGGAGCAAACAGGAUUAGAUACCCUUGUAGUC